GGGUAGGGGAGCGUUCUGUAAGCCUGUGAAGGUGGCCUGUGAGGGUUGCUGGAGGUAUCAGAAGUGCGAAUGCUGACAUAAGUAACGAUAAAGCGGGUGAAAAGCCCGCUCGCCGGAAGACCAAGGGUUCCUGUCCAACGUUAAUCGGGGCAGGGUGAGUCGACCCCUAAGGCGAGGCCGAAAGGCGUAGUCGAUGGGAAACGGGUUAAUAUUCCCGUACUUGGUGUUACUGCGAAGGGGGGACGGAGAAGGCUAUGUUGGCCGGGCGACGGUUGUCCCGGUUUAAGCGUGUAGGUGUGUGUUCCAGGUAAAUCCGGUUCACUUUAACACUGAGGCGUGACGACGAGGCACUACGGUGCUGAAGCAACAAAUGCCCUGCUUCCAGGAAAAGCCUCUAAGCAUCAGGUAACAUCAAAUCGUACCCCAAACCGACACAGGUGGUCAGGUAGAGAAUACCAAGGCGCUUGAGAGAACUCGGGUGAAGGAACUAGGCAAAAUGGUGCCGUAACUUCGGGAGAAGGCACGCUGACACGUAGGUGAAGUGAUUUACUCAUGGAGCUGAAGUCAGUCGAAGAUACCAGCUGGCUGCAACUGUUUAUUAAAAACACAGCACUGUGCAAACACGAAAGUGGACGUAUACGGUGUGACGCCUGCCCGGUGCCGGAAGGUUAAUUGAUGGGGUCAGCGCAAGCGAAGCUCCUGAUCGAAGCCCCGGUAAACGGCGGCCGUAACUAUAACGGUCCUAAGGUAGCGAAAUUCCUUGUCGGGUAAGUUCCGACCUGCACGAAUGGCGUAAUGAUGGCCAGGCUGUCUCCACCCGAGACUCAGUGAAAUUGAACUCGCUGUGAAGAUGCAGUGUACCCGCGGCAAGACGGAAAGACCCCGUGAACCUUUACUAUAGCUUGACACUGAACAUUGAGCCUUGAUGUGUAGGAUAGGUGGGAGGCUUUGAAGCGUGGACGCCAGUCUGCGUGGAGCCGACCUUGAAAUACCACCCUUUAAUGUUUGAUGUUCUAACGUGGACCCGUAAUCCGGGUUGCGGACAGUGUCUGGUGGGUAGUUUGACUGGGGCGGUCUCCUCCUAAAGAGUAACGGAGGAGCACGAAGGUUGGCUAAUCCUGGUCGGACAUCAGGAGGUUAGUGCAAUGGCAUAAGCCAGCUUGACUGCGAGCGUGACGGCGCGAGCAGGUGCGAAAGCAGGUCAUAGUGAUCCGGUGGUUCUGAAUGGAAGGGCCAUCGCUCAACGGAUAAAAGGUACUCCGGGGAUAACAGGCUGAUACCGCCCAAGAGUUCAUAUCGACGGCGGUGUUUGGCACCUCGAUGUCGGCUCAUCACAUCCUGGGGCUGAAGUAGGUCCCAAGGGUAUGGCUGUUCGCCAUUUAAAGUGGUACGCGAGCUGGGUUUAGAACGUCGUGAGACAGUUCGGUCCCUAUCUGCCGUGGGCGCUGGAGAACUGAGGGGGGCUGCUCCUAGUACGAGAGGACCGGAGUGGACGCAUCACUGGUGUUCGGGUUGUCAUGCCAAUGGCACUGCCCGGUAGCUAAAUGCGGAAGAGAUAAGUGCUGAAAGCAUCUAAGCACGAAACUUGCCCCGA
rnacentral:rRNA from 1 species